rnacentral:rRNA from 1 species
GGGCCCGCACAAGCGGUGGAGUAUGUGGUUUAAUUCGAUGCAACGCGAAAAAACCUUACCUGGUCUUGACAUCCUGCGAACUUUUUAGAGAUAGAAAGGUGCCCUUCGGGAACGCAGUGACAGGUGCUGCAUGGCUGUCGUCAGCUCGUGUUGUGAAAUGUUGGGUUAAGUCCCGUAACGAGCGCAACCCUUGUCCUUAUUUGCCAGCACGUAAUGGUGGGAACUCUAAGGAGACUGCCGGUGACAAACCGGAGGAAGGUGGGGACGACGUCAAGUCAUCAUGGCCCUUACGACCAGGGCUACACACGUGCUACAAUGGGGCGUACAGAGGGUUGCGAAGCCGCGAGGUGGAG